rfam:Homo sapiens chromosome 16, GRCh38 reference primary assembly.
GCUGGGCGCGGUGGCUCACGCCUGUAAUCCCAGCACCUUGGGAGGCUGAGGCGGGUGGAUCACCUGAGGUCAGGAGGUCGAGACCAGCCUGAACAACAUGGUGAAACCCCGUCUCUA